AUGGCCAUAUCACGUUGAAACACCAGUUCCCAUAUGAUUACUGAAGUUAAGCAAUGUUGAGCCUGCUCAGUACCUAGAUUGGUAACCAUUCGGA